GAUUCUCUUGGAAAUAUAUUGGAGUUAGUCCAUACAGCUUGCCGAAACGAAAUAUUGGGUAUGGUUGGUAGACCCCCCACUUUUUCACUGACAUUGAUCAACAGGGAGGUUCUGUAUAUUUUUCUUCUUCAGUUGAGAAACAAUUUCGAGGCUUUUAUUCACAACUUGAAGAUUCUGGUGAACUGAAAGAAGGAAUUAAGUAUGGGUUGGAAUUAUGAAUUUAUAGCAAGGGAUGAAGAAUGCUGCAAGGAUAACUUAGGGAUGAUUUGUACAUCUGGGAUGGUUAAUUGGAUGAUGCUCUGCUGCAACAAGUUUGGAACGGAAAGGUUGGAGAACAAGGCAGUCAUUAGGUUGCAGUAAGUUUCUAUGUAUAUUCUAAGUUAGAUGAAUUUGUCAACAUAGGAAUUUCUAUGAACUGAUACUUAAGGAUCAGAUGCUUAACAAAUAAAA